AUUGUAAAGUUUAAACCAAAUUUAAAUGCUUCAUUACUGAAGUACUUCUCAAAGAUUUUAGUAAACUAAUGGGUGUUGUGAAUCUAUAAGAGGUAGAUUCCACACACAACAUUUAGGACAGUCUCCUAAUUAUAUGAGUGCAAAACCUCUUCCUUUGGUUGGUUGGUUUUACCAGCACAUUCCAUGGAAUCUGUGUUUCAAGAGACAUAUUUUUUUUUUAAAGAUUUUAUUUUUUUUCCUUUUUCUCCCCAAAGCCCCCCGGUACAUAGUUGUAUAUUCUUUGUUGUGGGUCCUUCUAGUUGUGGCAUGUGGGAUGCUGCCUCAGCAUGAUUUGGUGAGCAGUGCCAUGUCUGCGCCCAGGAUUCGAACCAAUGAAACACUGGGCCGCCUGCAGCAGAGCGCGUGAACUUAACCACUCGGCCAUGGGGCCAGCCCCUCAUGAGACAUAUUUUGAGACAAGCUUUUAAGUGUGUUUUGUUAAAUUCUAAUUCUCUAAAAACUGUAGCUAUAUGCAUGUCAUAUAGGUUUAACCUUUGCUUCCCAGCACAUCUAUAUUUCCAGACAAUUCCAAAUUACCUAGAGAUGGAUGGACGGAUGGAUGGAUGGAGAGAUGGAAAAGAAGGAAGGAAGGAAGGAAGGAAGGAAAACAGAAAGGAAGGAAAGAAGGAAAAAAGUUAGUACUAGUCUUUAUUUUGUAUACAGCAGGCACUUAAUUAUGUAAUUGAUAAAGAGAAAAAUAGUCUGAAGGCUUAAAAGUAUUUGAAAGUUGCUUCUGUCAUAAGGCAAUUUUCUUUCCCAAGCACUUUCUUUUUUAAAUUCUGAAGAGUAGUUGCCAGAUAUCCAGACAUGAGGCGCUAAACAUAGAACCCACCAGAAUACCAUCACUCAUGUUCUGGGUAUGUGCUAAUUCAUAAGGAGUGGAAGCUCAUUAAAUGGAUUCCUCACGUGCUCAAGUUCACAAGUCUACAAAAUGGGAGCAGUUAGUCAGCCAGCCCCACGUAUGCUUUCUACUUGCCUAGGCAACAGCAAGAGUUCCUUCGCUAGAGCUGACGGCAGUCUAAGCAGCCAAGCUUGAGAUCAUCUGCAUCUGCCUCUGGGAGAAGAUUAAUUAGUUGGCUAUUCCUAAAGGAUGGAUUUGAGCAGAUCAAAGGUCCUCAAAAUGUAAUGGAGACAGAACUAAACUGUGGAAAUGUGCUCUUUGGAGGAAUAAAGAUCAAAAUUCGUUUGGGGAGUGUCACAGUGAACACGGUAUGCUCUGUUUUUCUUUCUUUUCUUUCAGAAAAUAAAAGCUCCUGCCAGGAUACAAAUAUUUAAUUUAUACUGCAUUUUAUUAGCCUUCUCUUUGAAGGGCUACCACUUAAAAUUUUUCUCUCUUCCUUAUUGGAUAAACACAUAGAAGACAUGUUUUAUCUAAGGCUGUAUACAGAGACCUAUGAGAAACUUUGUAGUGAAAAACUGUUACUGUCCAAAGGGUGUCCUUUACUCACCGCAAGACAUGCCAAUAGGCAGGAGGCAAGGUGGUAGGAGAGAAAAGGUUUCUUUGUUACAGCUUGCUAGCAAGAGGGAACAUGGCAGACUAAUGUCAGAAAGAACCAUCUUACGGAAGAAAGACUACAGGCCAGUUGUACACGGGGCUGGUCUCCAGGUGGGGAAGAUAUCUG
rnacentral:lncRNA from 1 species